rnacentral:rRNA from 1 species
AUUGAACGCUGGUGGCAUGCCUUACACAUGCAAGUCGAACGGCAGCACGGGUGCUUGCACCUGGUGGCGAGUGGCGAACGGGUGAGUAAUACAUCGGAACAUGUCCUGUAGUGGGGGAUAGCCCGGCGAAAGCCGGAUUAAUACCGCAUACGAUCCACGGAUGAAAGCGGGGGACCUUCGGGCCUCGCGCUAUAGGGUUGGCCGAUGGCUGAUUAGCUAGUUGGUGGGGUAAAGGCCUACCAAGGCGACGAUCAGUAGCUGGUCUGAGAGGACGACCAGCCACACUGGGACUGAGACACGGCCCAGACUCCUACGGGAGGCAGCAGUGGGGAAUUUUGGACAAUGGGCGAAAGCCUGAUCCAGCAAUGCCGCGUGUGUGAAGAAGGCCUUCGGGUUGUAAAGCACUUUUGUCCGGAAAGAAAUCCUUGGCUCUAAUACAGUCGGGGGAUGACGGUACCGGAAGAAUAAGCACCGGCUAACUACGUG